rnacentral:lncRNA from 1 species
UAGUUAGCUGAAGAUCCUACGGAACGUGUGGAUAAAAAAAUAUGUUUAUCAAGCUUAAAUUAUUAUUUAAACUUUGCCAAAGAUGCUCCCCACAACCAAAAAUCAAAAUUUAUUAAUAAAUCCAACAAGUUAACUCAAAAUUUUACGACACCCAGGUUUUGAAACCCUCGACAAAGCAAAGGUCUGAUCAACCAAUUAUUAACUUUAUUCAAAAUUCAAAUAUCAACUGCGAGUGCACAUAAGCAAUGGUAACUCAGCACCGAAUCCCAGCUCUGAGCUUCUAAUUGCUUGCAAGCAGAUAGACAAUAACAACCUAUUUCGUAAAACCCUAUAACAAUCAAUUUAUUGAACAAGAUAUCUAAAAAAUCAUUAAAGAAACUUGAAA